UAGGGAAUCUUCGGCAAUGGACGAAAGUCUGACCGAGCAACGCCGCGUGAGUGAAGAAGGUUUUCGGAUCGUAAAACUCUGUUGUUAGAGAAGAACAAGGACGUUAGUAACUGAACGUCCCCUGACGGUAUCUAACCAGAAAGCCACGGCUAACUACGUGCCAGCAGCCGCGGUAAUACGUAGGUGGCAAGCGUUGUCCGGAUUUAUUGGGCGUAAAGCGAGCGCAGGCGGUUUCUUAAGUCUGAUGUGAAAGCCCCCGGCUCAACCGGGGAGGGUCAUUGGAAACUGGGAGACUGGAGUGCAGAAGAGGAGAGUGAAAUUCCAUGUGUAGCGGUGAAAUGCGUAGAUAUAUGGAGGAACACCAGUGGCGAAGGCGGCUCUCUGGUCUGUAACUGACGCUGAGGCUCGAAAGCGUGGGGAGCAAACAGG
rnacentral:rRNA from 1 species